CCAGGUAGGUACACUGGCCGGAUACUGCGGAUUUAUAUUUAAUCCCUUUUGGCAUUAGGUAAUAAAUUCUCCUUGACUUUGAUCUGCGUGCGUGCCAUGUAUUAUAUAUAUAUGUAUAUGAAUAAAAGAUAAUUGUGUUAGCAGGCACUGCAGCGUAUGCAGCAGCGAGUUUUUAAUGUUAUUUAGUCUGGAGGGCAUUUUAAUCAAAACAUAUUAUACCCGUUGCUGCAGUAGUGAUGUUGUAUACAAAACCACGCCGAAAAUGUAUAGGUGCAAAACCCGUCCCUAGGGAAUACGAUUCGGUUGCGUGUCUUGUAUACACGGUA